AUGGUGUGAAAUGGUAGUGGCUCUGAGAAGAUAAAGAAGUGACUUUGUGGUUCCACCUGGCCCUCAGGAGUAGGAUAUGCCCCUGGCAGUGCUGUGAGAUGGGGCUUCCUCCUGCCCCAGGCGGUGGGUGAUGCUCUCCAGAACCAGCCAUUGGAGACAUCAGUUCUUCUAAUCUGUGAUGUUCUGCAUUGAUACCACUUGUAUUGCUGCUGCCUGCUAACCACAGCCCACAUUAAAGCAAAUGACAGUCCUGCACCUUGCAUUAAACAAGGCUCGUGUCUGGCCAUAGUCUUUGCUGAGAUCAGGUGGUGGGUGUGUUGAGAAGUCUCUCUUGGUGGUGCCUGCCUCCUGCAGGAGCUGUGUACAGCUAUACAGUUGAUGGUGUGCCAUUCAUCCCAAAAAGGCAGCUUUGAGCUUUCUCCUGUGCCCAGAACAGCAGGCCAGGUACCUCCUCCUUCAUGUCAUUGGAGUCCUCAGUGUGUGACAGAAGCAAGCUGGAUGUGGAGGGUUUGUGGAAGGACUGCUAUCAUCACAUCGUGAAGCACUAAGUAGCAAUAGCACUUGUUGAAAUGAAUGCUCAGUCUGCAUCUGAGAGUAACAAGGCCACUUCUCUGGACUGUCUCCUUGAGAAUUAAAGCUCCCCCCCUUAGGUGAACCAGAUAACCACAGCUCCUUGGCAAGACAUAACACAUGGUGGAAGUUUUUAACUCAACAGAAAGCUGCAUGGCAGGGAUAAAGAUCUUGUGGAGGUGCAAAAAAAGCUUUGGUAGGUAAGAAGCAGGUUGAAAAUGAGAUAUCAGUGUAAAUGGGGAAGGGCUCGAGUGAGUUCUUAAGUGUGGAAAGAUGACAUGCUACAGAGGGUAUUCCAGCAUGAUGAUGAUUCACAUUAGUAGUUGUUGGUGUGAGUUUACAAAUUCGAUGGCCAAUUUUUCAGCUCAAAUCCCACUGCCAUUGUCCUCUGUAGGAAGAAUUGUGGGGUUUUUAGUUUGGUUUCAUCUCCCUUAACUCCUCUAGUCCCUGGCAUUUGUUCCUCACACUGCUUGGAUGUUCAUGACCUUUCAUCUUUCUCCCAGUUAUCAGGUGCAGGAUGUCAGUACAAGCAUCUCAGUGUUCAUAAGACACUGCUCUAAGUAGAGCACCAGAGAAAACAAUGUAAGGCCAAUGUAGUGAGCUCAGAAGAGAGGUAGCUACAGAAUCAGCACUGAGUCACCUAACUGCUCGAGGUGGAGGCCUGUUUUCAGUGAAAGCUGAAAUGAGUCCCUAAUUCCCCUUUUAAAGAUAAGGAGCCCUCCCAGUUCGUUUUACAUCUAAUUUUUAGUGUACAAGCAUCCUGUGUAUAAGCAAAAGACUUUGGACUGCAAUUGGGCAAAAGGUAUAAACUUAACAAUGUCAUCAUCACCCCAGCUAAUUAAAGAGUUCUAUUAAGAAUUAAUAGGUCUGGGAGUCAAGAGACCCUGGUAAAGAAGCAAGUCACUGUAAGAAGUCACUUUUUCAAUUUGCUAUUUAAAUAACUCCUUGGAGUCUCCUAAACUGCACAACCCCAAAAUCACAAGAAUUCCAGUGCUGAACAGGAAGAAGACACUUACCCAGCAACCUGCUGUCUCCUUUCUGCUGAUCUGACCUACUGCUAGCACAUAAAACUAGUUUUGGAACUAUAAUCCCUUCACCAGACAGGAGUGCUAGAACUCCACAAACAGUCCAUGCUUUCUAAAAGCAAAUCAUUUCUCUCUCACUAACCCUUCAAUUCCUGGGAACAAUGCAGUGGCAGGAAAAGGCCUGAUUCUUAGUACCUUCUUUUGCCAAGUGUUGAUCCUGCUCAGGUAGCAGAAGCAGAGCUACUUUCUCCUAAUAACAGCUGCAGGUACAACACCUAGGGGCUCUGAAACACACAAAGCUGUGCAUAGCGUGCUAGGUAAGUGUGCUGACUUGAUUGAAAGGCACAGAGUAAAUCUUCAACCUCAGCAGCAAGAAGUUCAAAGUACAUCUCAUCCUAUUGUACUGCUGCAGGGAUAACACUGAAGGAGG